rnacentral:rRNA from 1 species
UACGUAGGGUGCAAGCGUUAUCCGGAAUUAUUGGGCGUAAAGAGCUCGUAGGCGGUUUGUCGCGUCUGCUGUGAAAACUGGGGGCUCAACCCCCAGCCUGCAGUGGGUACGGGCAGACUAGAGUGCGGUAGGGGAGAUUGGAAUUCCUGGCGUAGCGGUGGAAUGCGCAGAUAUCAGGAGGAACACCGAUGGCGAAGGCAGAUCUCUGGGCCGUAACUGACGCUGAGGAGCGAAAGCAUGGGGAGCGAACAGG